rnacentral:rRNA from 1 species
UACAGAGGUCCCAAGCGUUGUUCGGAUUCACUGGGCAUAAAGCGCACGUAGGCGGUGUCGUAAGUCGGAUGUGAAAUCCCUCGGCCUAACCGAGGAACUGCGUCCGAUACUGCGAUGCUUGAGGACCAGAGGGGUGCAUGGAAUUUCCGGUGGAGCGGUGAAAUGCGUUGAUAUCGGAAGGAACUCCGGCGGCGAAAGCGAUGCACUGGCUGGUUUCUGACGCUGAGGUGCGAAAGCCAGGGGAGCAAACGGG